UACGGGGGGGGUAAGCGUUGUUCGGAAUUACUGGGCGUAAAGGGCUCGUAGGCGGCCAACUAAGUCAUACGUGAAAUCCCUCAGCUUAACUGGGGAACUGCGUGUGAUACUGGAUGGCUUGGAUUUGGGAGAGGGAUGCGGAAUUCCUGGUGUAGCGGUGGAAUGCGCAGAUAUCAGGAGGAACACCGAUGGCGAAGGCAGUUCUCUGGGCCGUAACUGACGCUGAGGAGCGAAAGCGUGGGAGCGAACAGG
rnacentral:rRNA from 1 species